rnacentral:rRNA from 1 species
GACGAACGCUGGCGGCGUGCUUAACACAUGCAAGUCGAACGGUAAGGCCCUUCGGGGUACACGAGUGGCGAACGGGUGAGUAACACGUGGGUGAUCUGCCCUGCACUUCGGGAUAAGCCUGGGAAACUGGGUCUAAUACCGGAUAGGACUCCUGGCUUCAUGGUUGGGGGUGGAAAGCUUUUGCGGUGUGGGAUGGGCCCGCGGCCUCUCAGCUUGUUGGUGGGGUAGUGGCCUACCAAGGCGACGACGGGUAGCCGCCCUGAGAGGGUGGCCGUUGACACGGGGACGGCGCGACGCCCCAGAGUGCUGCAGGAGGCAGCAGUGGGGUAUGUUGCACAAGGGGCGCAAGCCGGAUGCGGCGCCGCCGCGUGCGGGAUGACGGCUUUCGGGUUGUAAACCUCUUUCAUCUAUGACGAAGCGGAAGUGACGGUAGUAGCAGAAGAAGGACCGGCCAACUACGUGCCAGCCGCCGCGGUAA